rnacentral:rRNA from 1 species
AUUGAACGCUGGCGGCAGGCCUAACACAUGCAAGUCGAACGAGUGGCGGACGGGUGAGUAAUGUCUGGGAAACUGCCCGAUGGAGGGGGAUAACUACUGGAAACGGUAGCUAAUACCGCAUACCAUCGGAUGUGCCCAGAUGGGAUUAGCUCGUAGGUGGGGUAACGGCUCACCUAGGCGACGAUCCCUAGCUGGUCUGAGAGGAUGACCAGCCACACUGGAACUGAGACACGGUCCAGACUCCUACGUGAGUCAGCAGUGUGGAAUAUUGCACAAUGGGCGCAAGCCUGGUGCAGCCAUGCCGCGUGUAUGGAGAAGGCCUUCGGGUUGUAAAGUACUUUCAGCGAGGAGGCGUUACUCGCAGAAGAAGCGCCGGCUGACUCCGGGCCAGCAGCCGCGGUGAUAC